rnacentral:lncRNA from 1 species
CUAUGACCUGCUACGAAGACGUGAACUGUGCUGAUCUGACUCUCUCUGCCUGGAAUCCAGACUAAAAGCAAAGCAAGCUCUGCCAGUUAGCAGUGGGUCUGCAGCUGCAAGAUGGUGAGCAAGGAAGGCCCUGAGAACUGCAGCUGGCAAGGCAGCACUGUGGGGAGUGAGGAAGCUGGUCAGAAGGGAGGACAAAUUCAGGAAUUCAGCAUGCAGCUGAGUUGCUUUAGGGGGUGAAGGCUACAGUAGUUAGAAAACGUGACCUCCAGACCCUGGCCCACACCAUCUCCAGGACAGUGCCUGAAACAGGAGCAUUCCCAGUCACCUGUCCUGGAGUCCAGGGAUUGGUGUCCCCUGCCUGGGUGUUCCAUGUGUAUCCAUUGUACUUGAACUAGAUUUUGAGAGAGGGUGUGUCUGUUUUUGCAAGUGCAAGAUCUUUUUCUAAAACACUUAUCUGACUUCAGAGUUAAGAGAGGUCUUGGCUCAAGAAAACAUGAAGCAUAGCUUUGGGAAAAUAGUAACCGAGAAAAAGGGUAGCAUUACCCGUAAAGUAUAGGUUCCCUAGACUCUGUGCUCCUCAGAACCAGAGUCCCUGCUUGAAAAAGGACACCAACAGGUAAGAAAUUAUGCAGAGGAAGGCAGAAAGGGCCAGGAGGGAGUCAGAUGCCACCUCACCAGGUCUGGAGAAAUGGGAGAGCUUCUACUCUUGAAAGUAGAAACUAGGGAAGCAGAAGAGAUGUUCUCAAUACACGCAGGGCUGCCGUGAUGAACACGCAGCAGACUCGCAUCUUGUCCUCCAAAGCUGAGAACUGGGACCCGCCAGAAGUUAUAAGGAGCUACUGCGAGUUUCCCAACAACAGGAUGUCCUGCUGCCUGGUGGGGAGGACACAGCCCCUGGAGGCAUUCGACUGGAGACUAGCUGGCUAGCUACACAGACCCAGCAGAUGGGAGCCUGAGCUCGAGGCCCUCUGCCGUUAUCUUCAGCACUAAAACAGGAGUUAUCCACAAUGACUCCUCCUGGCCUUCAGCUAUCGCUUCAGUAAGAAGUUGAAGAUUAAGCAGACCAUAAAAUAGGCAUACCUUUCAUCUCUAGAAGACUUCAAAUUUCCUGCAGAAAGGGGCUGAUAAAAAUCCACCCCCAUCCCAGUGUCAUCUAUAUCCUUCCUGGGGCUGAUGAGACCAUGCUGAAACAGAGAGCUCCUGGUUUCUCUUACGCUCCACAGCCUAAACAAAUCUACAUAUGCACAUCUCCU